rnacentral:hammerhead_ribozyme from 1 species
GUCCAGCUGACGAGUCCCAAAUAAGACGAAAUGCGCGUUAUCCUGGAU